GGCCUUUCUGUAGCUCGGUCGCUAGCUUCGACUUUCUCAUUUUUCUUGUCAACCAAGUAUAAUAACUUCACACUUAAUGGAACUUCAAUUAGAUACACGUGAACACAACCGACUGUAAUCACUUCAUAAUUUAACUGCGUCGUGUAUGGACUUAUACCCGUCAUGGAGGAGCUGCAGAACCAGUUUGUUCGGAUGAAGCCGCAGGGGGAUGCAACCUGAAAUCAAUCACAUCUACUUUGGUAUCCAGUGAGCUGCAGGAUGAAGUGACCCCAGAAUCUGAUGGCGCCUCCACUUUUUUGACAUGAAAAUGCAGACAUGGAUGUCCUGAGGCUGGUCUAUAGAAUGAUGGGCCGGAUCAGUACUUUCCGAUCCUAUCAGUUUGUUCUCCUCCUCGCAGCGGCGCUUGCCGUUGUAGCGUUUUACUACUUUGGAUCGGAAAAGCAUAACUUCUCCAGUACCACAAAGAGGAUCAAGCAGACACAAGCGAACCACAACACCAACAGAAAUGAUGCUGAUUUGACUAUAGACACAGUGUUUUCCCACCUGGAGGAAGAGAGAGGUGGUGCUGGAGAACAGGACGGAUUGGUGACUAGAAAACAAAAUGAUGAGGCAGUUGACCAACGAUAUCAUCUACUUAUGAUGUUCACCAAAGUCGACAAAAAUCGGAGUCUGCAGGACAAGUUCAGGGUGGCCAUGUUGUCCUUGGUGAAGCACGGACGCUUUCUGCAUGGAGAAGUCCUGGCCCUUCAUUUUGUGAGUGACCCUGCCAGCAAAGAAAUGGGAGAGAAGAUGCUGCAGGAAUUGCUGGUAGAUGCAACUUUCAAGUAUGAGGUCUUGUUCCAUGAUGUGGCCACGCUGACGCAGAAGCUCUUCCCCAUCGUGGAGGCUAUGCAGAAACACUUCAGUGCUGGAUCCGGAGCUUAUUACAGCGACUCCAUCUUCUUCCUGUCGGUGGCCAUGCAUCACAUCAUGCCGAAAAGUAUAACUCGGAUCGUGCAGGUGGAUUUAGACCUGAAAUACAGGACCAACAUCAAACACCUCUUCCAAGAAUUUGACCACUUCACUCCAGGCGCUGUCAUCGGCAUUGCCAGAGAGAUGCAGCCUGUUUACAGACACACAUUCUGGCAGUACCGUAAGGAAAACCCUCAGAGCAAAGUGGGGGACCCUCCUCCUGAGGGCCAGCCCGGCUUCAACAGUGGGGUUAUGUUGCUGGACUUGGGUGCAAUGAGGGCAUCGGCUCUCUACAAUGAGCUUCUCAAGCCGAGCAACGUGGCCAAACUGGCCGACCAGUACCGCUUCCGGGGCCACCUUGGGGACCAGGACUUCUUCACCAUGAUUGGCAUGGAGCACCCCGAGUUGUUUUACUCUCUUGCGUGCGGGUGGAACCGACAGCUUUGCACCUGGUGGAGGGACCACGGCUACGGGGACGUUUUCCAGUUGUAUUACAGGUGUGACGGACCUGUUUACGUCUACCACGGGAACUGUAACAGCCAGAUACCGGACGAUUGAUGGACACAACCAAAUAAAUUAAUAAUGGCUACUUUUGCAUCUUCCAGUGGCCUAAAAAGUGAAUAAUUGUAUUUCACAUUUCCAAAAGAGAGAACCAAGCUUUGGAUUGAUCAAAUUGUUUGAUUUGCGGAUCAUGUUUUGCACUUUGUAGUGCGUUUAGAGUUUUGCUGGAUGAUGCUUUUCCAUGGCUGCUACUCAAAAAGAAGCGGAAGGAUAUUCUUGUGUUGUGGCUCCGCCUGAUGUUCAGGAGGGCUUUAUGAUGAUGGACUAAGAAGAUUUAAGUUACCAUUCUUUCAGUGUUUAUUGCUACUAGAAGGGAAGAAGUUUGUAUACGUUUAUAUACUGUUUACAAAAACGUGUGCCGUCAGGUGCUUGAGUCAGUAGUGUGACACACUCGGAAUGGUUUAAGGCUGUUUUUGUCUGUCAUCAUCCCACACACUGCUUAUCAAACUGCCGAUAUUUUGGUUCCUGCUUCCUAAAAUUAAAUCCACAUUUCCAUUUUCUCCCAGAUUAGAUCAACCUAUUUGCCACUUGUUGCUUUCCCUCUGUCCGUCGAUCGUCUGAUGUCAAGCAGCCUUUUUUGAAGCGAUGACUUUCCAUUAGCGUGACGUUGACCAACUGACCUACUUUUGCUCUCUCUGGCUCUGUGGACUGACAGACGCAGAGAAAAAUCAACACUCAAUAUUUAUCAGCCAGGAAGCGCCAAAGCAGCAACCCAAGGGCCAGAACAAUCCAUGCAGUCAUAACAAUGCUGCUCGAGUGGAAGUGCGGAUAAAAUACAAAACAAUUUUGAUGAGCCAUGUCAGUGACGGGGUUCGCUCCAGAAUGUCUGUUUAAAAACCACGGUGGCACUUUAUUUAAACCAAAUAUGGACCUUUGUUUUUCAUCUGUGUUUAUUUGUCAGUAGAGAGGCAUCACAUGAAUGAUGAGUUUGUUUCCAAAGCAGAGGGACAUCCAUGCUGUCGAGGAUGCAGUUCUGACGGAAACUUGAAAGGCUUGAUCUGAGGUUAGGAAAGGUGAACUGGAAGAGAAGGAAAGAGGUUUUUUUCCCAGAAACUGUCUACUUCAGUGAUCUGAUGGAUUUAUCAGCUAAACUCCCCUCAGAACACAGACGGACUCAGCAUGAUCAGAUCUGAGCGCGCUCAAGACAAGAGACGGAAAUAUCCCGGCGUGUGAUGAAGGGCUGAAGUGAGGAUGAGCCGUUAUAUCAGACCAUCCUGACAGACAGCGGAGCGCACAAGUAGUGGCUGCUGCGCGGAGGUGGAUUGAUGUGUCUUUGUGCAGCAGGUGAUCCAUCCGACCAUAUCAUAUCGUCCCACCAGGAGGCCACAGAAGCAGCCAUGACACGAGUAGACCCUCCAUCCACACCACGCUGGCAGUGUGUGUGAAGGAAUUAAAUCAUCUCAUCUCAUACUUAUAUGAGAUAUUAUAUCACUUAUACUCAAAUCAAGCGACUGAAGAGGAUCUGUCUUGUUCUCUUGAUCAGCAUUAGUGCUGCGACUGUUAUACAAUGUAGGUCAAACUCCUGACGCUGAUCUGAGUGUGGGAUUUUGACCGUGUUCACACGCUCAGUGUAUGUUGAAGGAGAGUCUUUUUUAACUUUGGUAAACAAAUACAAGUGCAUGAAUAUUCCAAAGCAUGCUGAGCGAGAGAGGAAGAGGGAGAAGAAGCCGCAGCCUGUUGCCCAUCUCAAAGAGUUCUGGUUUGAAAACUUUGAAGAGUUUAUUUGGGUUUUUCUCCAGACUCCUAGGGAGGAAUAUUAACCACUUUUGCCAAUUAUUUUUCAUUUACUCCUUUCCAACUUAGCUCCAUCUCCAUGGUAAACCAAUAUCUGAUCUUAUUAUUCAUGCGUGUGCUGAAAAUCACGAAUAAUAUUUUGGACCUGACGGUACAUUAACCUUUUAUUAGAUUUAAAUAUAUGUAUAGAUAAAAACCUCUGCUAAACUUUGCACCACUUCAUCAGGCCUGGCAGUCUCCAGAGAUGACUGUGUUCCCAUCGCAGUCUGAAAAGGCUCAUGCAAACAUCUUGAGCAUGAUUUAUUACUCACCAAGCUGAGAAAUACUUCUCUUCUGACAUCAGUGCAUGCUGUGCUAUUUGCACAACAGCUUUACCUCAGAAAAAUAGCCUGAAUAGCAGAAUCAAAAUGGUCUUCCUCUGAACACUGAGAUUUAUUAGAAAAGAAGCUGGAGGGGAAAAACUACUCUCACAGGCCCAGGCAUAUCAACUACAAGCUACAGUUCAGCUUGUGUUUAGCAUUCUGAUUGUUCCUUAAACUGUGUUGAUUCAAUUAUCCCUGUAGUCAAGUGAGAAUUACAUUUGUGUCAGCUACUUUUUCUCUUUAUUUUGAAGAAAAAAUUGUAUAAAUAUAAAAAAUUGAAUACAGAUUUCACUUCAAAUUUGCACUUACAAAGUGAACCUUCCAAACCAAAGAGCACAAAUCCAUAUAGUGGGACAAUGGCACCAUGAAUGUCUUGACUGAAAUAUCACCAGGGGAAUCAGUCAGAUCUAUUUGAUCUGUAGUACUUUCUGAUACUUAUAUUACAGUUUACUUCUCUGCUGAUACAUGUAAAAUUAAAUGUAUUGGUCCAGAUGAUUUUGGAUGCAGCACUUGAUGGAUGAGACCUGGCAAAGAGAAGCUAUUAAAUGGACCACUGAUUCGGUGGUUUCCUGUUCAUAUAUUCUUGGCCUUCUUCCCAUUCUAGCAGGGAUUGACAUGACAUGAAUGUAUUGUGUCUUGGUCUAUAUUUCUCAAUUCAUAUGUCAUAAAACAUGUUGAGACCAUCAGGAUGUAAGGAGUAAUUCCCACCAUUCAGGUUCCCCUAAAAACUCUGUGAAGGCCUCCGCAGCUGUCCCUUGUUUGUGCUUCACUACCCUAACGCGAUGUGAAUGGAGUUCCACGUGCAACCUCUUUUCCUCUGACCCGUCCUUCGACUG